ensembl:lncRNA
GGUGCAGGGCAUGUAUGGGAGCGCUUGCUGGAGGGCAGCUCUCGCCCACCACCGUGCGUGUGCCUGCGAGCCUGCUUGAAACAAAGAGGCUCACACCGGGGAAGCCCCAACUUGGACAAUGCAAAUAUUUCAGCAUCCAAACGGUUAAUGCGCCCAUUGAAAUUCAGCUGCAAGCAGGCUCGCUCUUACGGCCACGCUCUGGCCAUUAGUUUUGGAUUAUCAGCAGCCGUGGAGUUUUGCAGGCAGAUGCAACGCAAGGUCCUUCAGCUGAGCGAGCGCGUCCCUCCCUGCUCCCUAAUCCUGCUGCCGAACUGCAAACAAAAGUCGUGGGAGGAACGUGCCGGCCUUUGGCCAGGAACAGAAAGGGGGGAAAUGUGCUGUUUCCAACGCUCCCCAUUGAUCCCAUCUUUGUAGCGUCGCUGGGAUUUUUGGCUUAUUGUAUAAAGUGUCAAAAAAGUUAAUCCAGUUUAUUCAGCAAACACGUCUAAGAGCAACUUAAGGGGAAAAAAAGCUGGAAAUCGCCUCUUCAUAUUUCUAGAUGGCGCGCUG